GGGGGCGACUUGGCUUCGACGGGUUCGUAGAAGGAAUGGCAGCGUGCCCAGGUCCAGAGUCCUGGUAAAACCAUCUGGAACGAUUUAACUGCCAAUACUGAACUGGCACUGGCCGCGUAAGCUGAGCUAAGCUCGCUUGACGCGCCUUCGGCUGGUGGAGCCCGCCCGGAGCGCCUCCCGUCGAAUCGCAAACCCGGGCUGGCCGCGCGCGUCGCUCCGGCGCAGGCGGUGAGAUCGUUCAGGAGCUAGGCCGAGGGGAGGUCGGUUCGGCACCGACCCGAGGCGACGGCAAGAAGACGAGCCUACGCACGUAGACGCGGUUCUGGAAGCUUACUCGGACCAGGGUUCGAUUCCCUGCGCCUCCACUU
rnacentral:tmRNA from 1 species